rnacentral:rRNA from 1 species
GACGAACGCUGGCGGCGUGCUUAACACAUGCAAGUCGAACGGAAAGGCCCUGCUUUUGUGGGGUGCUCGAGUGGCGAACGGGUGAGUAACACGUGAGUAACCUGCCCUUGACUUUGGGAUAACUUCAGGAAACUGGGGCUAAUACCGGAUAGGAGCUCCUGCUGCAUGGUGGGGGUUGGAAAGUUUCGGCGGUUGGGGAUGGACUCGCGGCUUAUCAGCUUGUUGGUGGGGUAGUGGCUUACCAAGGCUUUGACGGGUAGCCGGCCUGAGAGGGUGACCGGCCACAUUGGGACUGAGAUACGGCCCAGACUCCUACGGGAGGCAGCAGUGGGGAAUAUUGCACAAUGGGCGGAAGCCUGAUGCAGCAACGCCGCGUGCGGGAUGACGGCCUUCGGGUUGUAAACCGUUUUCGCCUGUGACGAAGCGUGAGUGACGGUAAUGGGUAAAGAGGCACCGGCUAACUACGUG